rnacentral:rRNA from 1 species
GGGGAAUUUUGGACAAUGGGCGCAAGCCUGAUCCAGCCAUGCCGCGUGCAGGAUGAAGGCCUUCGGGUUGUAAACUGCUUUUGUACGGAAAGAAAAGCUUCGGGUUAAUACCCCGGGGUUCUGACGGUACCGGAAGAAUAAGCUCCGGCUAACUUCGUGCCAGCAGCCGCGGUAAUACGAAGGGUGCAAGCGUUACUCGGAAUUACUGGGCGUAAAGCGUGCGUAGGUGGUUGUUUAAGUCUGAUGUGAAAGCCCUGGGCUCAACCUGGGAAUGGCAUUGGAAACUGGGCAGCUAGAGUGCGGUAGAGGGUAGUGGAAUUCCCGGUGUAGCAGUGAAAUGCGUAGAGAUCGGGAGGAACAUCUGUGGCGAAGGCGACUGCCUGGACCAGCACUGACACUGAGGCACGAAAGCGUGGGGAGCAAACA